UGGGAGCCCAGGAGCUGGAGGCAGGCCCUAAGCCUCAGCGGGCAGCAGGCUGGCUGCUGUGUGCUUGGCUGGCA
rnacentral:miRNA from 1 species